rnacentral:lncRNA from 1 species
AGGGCAAUGGAAAAGAAAACCUUUCAUAACCUACCAUUAAGCAGUAACCAUACCAGUAUGUGUUAUAUCUUUUAAUAAGCUAAACAGUCAUAAUUCAGUGAAUCUCAGACCACAUGGCUGAAAUACCUGGAUAUUACCAAAUGUGAGGUGUCAUAAGAGAAAGAUGAAUCAGAAGGAACAUUAACAGUCACUGGUGAAACCUGUAAGGUCUUAAGCCAGAAUCUUCAAAAGUAAUUUGAUGCCCUAAUUGUAAUGGGAAUUGGCAGUAAGCUGUCCCAGAGCAAAAUGUAAGUUCUAGAAAGAAAAGAGAAGCAGAACUUUUAAAAUGUAAUGCAUAAUACAAAGCACAGAAGAGAUGCCCCAUAAUGAGAAACUUCAUGUUUGUUCUGCUUAAAGUGAAGACAGUCUCUUGUUUGCAUUGAAAACCUCUUUGCAAGUCACAGAGAUAAUCAAGUUAUCUCUAACCUAUUUAGAAUAGUUUAGAAAGAGGAUAAGUGAUCUUAUUUGUCUCUUUAGCUGGUAAGCCUAUGAAAAGACAUACAAAGGUUUUUUUUCUGAGUCUGGUGGCUAUCAAUGACUGUAUGUUACUGUAAUUAACCUUGGCAGGGAAGGGUGUGGUGUGAGAGGAUGUCUCCCCAACACAUUGGCUCUCCGAGGAGAAAAGGCAAAAGCUUUAAUUUAGGUUUAACCACCAGAUGUUGAAUCCAAGCGUAGAUCUAAACCGUGAGUUUUCUCCUGUAUUUUCUGCCACAUAUUGCCUCUGAUGCAUCUAGAGAUGGUUGAAAUUUUUCUCAUACAUAGGACAGGUACAAACCCUCAAAACAGAACUUAAGUGCAACUUUUCUAGUGAAGCAGCAGUGGAUUUCCACUGAGACCAGAGGACAAGUUUUGGUCAAUGCUUUCUGAGUUGCAGAAGGGUUGAGAAGUAUUUAAUCUACUAUGUUUCAGGCAGAACUUUGUGAUGAUGUGUGCAGCUAUGUAAAUACAAAGUGAUUACAAAUAAGAGAUCCACCUUUUGAGGUCUCACAAAAGGCAUGGAGU